rnacentral:misc_RNA from 1 species
AAGCCCCGCCAUUUGUUAAUAGCAUGUUCUUUGAAAUUGGCAACUCUGGCACCACCGUCGCUGCCCCCGCCACAGGUACUAUGUCAAAGCAGCAAUCUUUGAUAGCUCGCCAGAUAUUUAUCCAUCCCCCACCGCCUUUAUCAUCGCCAUCUUCGUCCGCCUCAUUAAACAAGCGUCGUCCACUUCUUCAACGACACAGCCACUCCGCCUCCUCCAAUUCCUCCUGCUGCAGCGGCCGUUUCGCAGAGCUAGCAGGCGGGACGACAGCUGAGUGUGCUGCGAUAUGCUGCUGUUGU